UCAUGCUGGCCAUAUUCAUUUUAUCUUAACCUUUCCAUAAUCUUUUAAGUCCAGCUGUUAUGACUGCACAUGUGAAGGGAUUGGGUGUGUGCAGCUGCAAAAUCAACACAGACGUCUGCAUGACCUCGUCUCCUUCGCCACAUGCCCACUCAAAGAAACAGUCCAAGGGCACAUUGACACAGCUCAGCACAGAUGGAACUAACCCCCAUGGUCAACAAUAAAGUAGGAAUGAGCACCAGAUAACAAGUGGAAGUGAUAACUGCUCCCCGAAGAUCCGCAGCCGUCAGGGAAGAUGAAGUCUAGUGGCCUUACACCUCCUUCGGAAGCAUGAGAAGGGCAAAGCUCAGCUGUGCUGUGAACUAUUAAAACAAAAAGAAGAACAAGAACCAGUAUCAAAGAGACCUUGAAUUUCUUCCAGCCUUGUGGCUGACUGGCUAUCUUCUGCAAGUUCGUCUGUCUUCUUGACCUGCGGCAGAUGAUCAUAACAAUAACAGUGUGUCUAUCCUGUGCCAGGAAUGACUGACAGACUUCACACAGACACCAUAUCUAAUUUUCACAAUAACCGAGUGAAGCAGAGACCUUCAUCACCAUCCUCAAGAUAGAGAGUUCAAUGGAAAUCCAGUUUGCCUGCAGCAUAUAUGCUUCGGCUUUUUCUCCUAAUAAUGCUUCUUGAAUUCCUUCUCUGUGCACUUAUUAGUUUACAUUC